UUCUGGUUUUGGGUGAGAAGAAGAAAUCGGAUCGGAUUGAGGAAUUUAGGGAAACGGAGUGUGACCUCGGUGGCCGUGCUGUGCUCUCGACGGUGGAGUGGAAUUCAAUUGGCCGGGGAAGAAGAGAAGAUGAAGAUGAUGGAUAGCCAGCCCAGUUGCCCGUUAAAAGGCCGGCCUGCUAAAAAGAAGGCCCACAUAUGCUACUAGCCGGGAGCCCACUAUCCCGUUGGUUAGAGCCACUUCCACGCACCAGAUCGAGGCAAGCUGUGAUGCUGUCUCCGCCGCCGCCGCCGCGCUCGCUGGCCGUCCUCCAUUCCAUUGCAGUGGUGCCGCCCGCCACCCUUCUCUCAGCCCUCUUCGUCUCCGGGCGAGCCCAGCUCCUUCUUCGAUCAGGUUUGCUAUUUGUGAAAGCAGGCAAGGUUAUGAUGGUUAGCAUUGGAACGGAUCACAGGGUUAGGGAUGAAUCAGCAGAACAAAUAGUUACCUGGAGCUGUACGAAGAUACCCUGAUAUGUUACUGCUCAUGUAGGCAUAGCCAAUGCCAAGGGUUCUUUCUGCACCAAACUCAGCCACAACUUUUAGCCUCUUGUUCUUCAUAUCAACAGCAAGCACCCAAGCAUCGUCGUCCCAUUGGUCGGCCUUGGCCAUGAAGCAAACAAUGUCAUCAGAGUGCAAGCUGAGCGUUGGAUGACCCACAUGAAGUCUCUCCAAGGUUGGCUGAGGUGUGCCUUGGUCAUCGAAAA